UACGUAGGGUGCAAGCGUUAAUCGGAAUUACUGGGCGUAAAGCGUGCGCAGGCGGUUUUCCAAGACAGAUGUGAAAUCCCCGGGCUCAACCUGGGAACUGCGUUUGUGACUGUAUGACUAGAGUACGGUAGAGAGGGGUGGAAUUCCUGGUGUAGCAGUGAAAUGCGUAGAUAUCAGGAGGAACAUCGAUGGCGAAGGCAGCCCCUUGGACCUGUACUGACGCUCAUGCACGAAAGCGUGGGGAGCAAACAGG
rnacentral:rRNA from 1 species